ACAGCAGCAGCCGCGGGAAUACAGAGGGUGCGAGCGUUAAUCGGAUUUACUGGGCGUAAAGCGUGCGUAGGCGGCUUUUUAAGUCGGAUGUGAAAUCCCUGAGCUUAACUUAGGAAUUGCAUUCGAUACUGGGAAGCUAGAGUAUGGGAGAGGAUGGUAGAAUUCCAGGUGUAGCGGUGAAAUGCGUAGAGAUCUGGAGGAAUACCGAUGGCGAAGGCAGCCAUCUGGCCUAAUACUGACGCUGAGGUACGAAAGCAUGGGGAGCAAACAGGAUUAGAUACCCGAGUAGUCCCUGUCUCUAUACA
rnacentral:rRNA from 1 species